CACAAAACUAGCUAUACCAAAUGGCAAUAAAAAUAAUUAGGAUCAUAAGAUGUCAUUUUUGUGGGGAGAAAAUGUAAACUAAACCUGAUUGCAGGGGUAAUAAUUAGAAAUGCAGAAAAACAUGGGGAUCAAAAACCAAACACCCUAGUAGACAAGGACACCAGUCUAUAACUUCCAUUCAGAUUUGUAGUGGUUUGAAUUUUAUAAGUUAAAAAUUUAUUUGGUCAGGUAAAUGACCUGUCCAUUUUGUAGGUUUUUUUUAAUUCAAAUUGGAGUAUUAUACUAUGCUUACCUGGUUUGAAGGCUUUAAAUUUAUAAGUAUAGCUCAUGUGUCAAAUAAUUGAGAAGGAAAUGAGUUCAUGUAUUGCGUCAGCCAGGCCCCAAUUCUUUGAAAUGUAUUUUUUUGGAUUGCUCGCCAUCACGGCAUCACCAUUGCAAAACAAUACUCAAAUGCAUUUCUUGUUUUCUUCCUUUCUAAAGCAGUCAAAAGUCAAAAGUCAAAACAGAACAAAUAAUAAAGCCUGUGAAUGCUCGCAUAGAAACGGUACUGUUUAUUAUUGUCCAUGGUGCCUGAUGGAACAAUUUAUAUUAUGAUUAUUGGGGUUUGUGAAAUUUUGAAGCCAUCUUUGGUUGAUUAGAAAAAUAUUUAGAGAUUAAUAUUAGCGGAACAGUUCCAAUUAGGUUCAGGGAACUUUGCCAAAAAGAUUCUAACUUGUGUAGGUAUCUUUACAAAAACACUGAAAGAGUAGCCCAAGUUGCCUCAAAACCAAAACUGGGCUAGCUUAUCGAUCCCAUGUUUAGGGCCACAGGUAAAUACUGUUGAGGUUUAACUCAUUUG
rnacentral:misc_RNA from 1 species